CAUUCCAGCAAGGCAGAGGGGCACACAGUGGGGACAGCCUUGGGGCUCUGGCUCUUAGGGCAUCUGGGGAGACCCUUGGCGGAUAGAGGUGGGCUUUCCGAUUCUGACUAGGGCCUCAGAAAUUGCUUCUGCCCGUCUCUGCCCUGGCUCCUCUCAGCUGAGGGUCCCAGCAUCACUGUCUGAGUGGGCCUUGUCUCCUCCUCUUCCUGCCACAGCCUGCGGUGGAGGUGCCCCAGUACGUGGGCAUCCGGCUCCUGGUGGAAGGCUCCACUAUCAAGAAACCCCUGACCAUGUAUCAUCGACGGAUGGGGGUCCACCCCGCAUUUCCUCGUCUGCUGACCCAGCAAGGCUCUGGGGAAGGCAAGGACUCAGGGACCCCUACCCACAGGUCAGCUUCUAGGAAAGUUGGCAGGGCCAGGAGCCGGGGCACAUGGAAAGGCCAACCUUCACUGCCACUACUUCGGUGCCCGGAAAGGGGAAGAAUGGCAAGUCGAAAAGAGCCACAGCCCUGCUUACCCCCAGCCUUGAGCAGACCAGACCACCUUUGCAUCUGAAGACCCCCAUCACCCAACACACCCAAGGGUCCCGAGGUAGCAGGAAGUGUAAAGAAGUUGCCUGAGGUUGCACAGCUCAGAAGGGUCAGAGCCAGGAUGCAGACCCAGGCAAGGCCUUGAUGACUCUGCCAACAGCCAAGGUUUUCAUUUGCUUCCCACCCAACCCUGCUCUCAAGCUGGCACCCAGCAUCUCAAAGCCAAAAAAGGUGGGCCUUGAACUUGGACUCAUCCUGGUGGGCUGCACUAGACACCUGGGUUGGGGUUGGGGGCCCCAGGCACAGGGCAGCUCCCAGAACCCCUUUCCCAGACAGAUCCCUCAUCCUCUCUCUUUUCUCCACUCCAACUGAGGCUGUUCCCCAGUGCCCUCAAGGCCCCCAUCCUGGAAGUGUCUUGUGCCCUGUGUUCUUUGAAGGUGCAGCUCUUCCUAGCAUCCCUAAGAAGGUCAAGGGCAAGUUUAAGGCCAGACAGUGUGACAAACCGAGGCACCCCAGGCCCAGGCAUGCUCUGUGAAGAGGCUUAACCUCCCACAACCCUCACCCCUUGCUUCUACGUUCCAGGGGCCAGCAGUCAAGGGGCCCUGGGGGAUGUGAGGCUGGAGAAAGCCCGGCUCUGACCCCCAUGGCCCUGGCCUGGAUCCAGCCUCAAAUAAAAAGGAGCACAUGGAGUAUUCUGGGUUGACUUCCCUGUACUGGAGGGGGAAGGGUGGGACGAGGCCCCUGCCCCCAAGGUCCAGCCAUGGUGAGAGCUGGAGGCCGGAACUCCCAACAGGGAAGUUGGAGACUUCUGUGCAGGGAUCACACACAUGAGAAACCAAGUCUGGAAAAGGAUAUGUGGCUGGCCCAGUAUGUUGUGAUGUUGUGGCAGUGAGUGGAAAGCAGGGGGCUUUCUCCUGGCCACCAGGAGCUCCCCAGUCCCAGGAGACAGGCUAGGGACAGUAAUGACAGCAGCUGGGGGACAAAGUCAG
ensembl:lncRNA